CUUUGGCGGAGGGGCGGGGCUUGCGCCGGCGUCUCUUCUUCCAACUGCAGUUUGUGGCAGCGCCAUUUUGAAUGUGCGGCUGCCGCGGGUGUGAGUCGGCGGAGGACGAGUUGCCGACUCGUCUACAUAGCGGUCUCUUGAUUGUCGAUAUUUUGUUGCCAUAGGUUUAUCUAGAGACGUAUACAUAUAUAUAGACACGCUAUAUAGAAAUCUAGGCCUGUGUCCGGCGUCCGAGGCGAACUCCCUAAGAUGAUGUUAAGAGGAAACCUGAAGCAAGUGCGCAUUGAGAAAAACCCGGCCCGCCUUCGCGCCCUGGAGUCCGCGGCGGGCGAGAGCGAGCCGGCGGCCGCAGCAGCCAUGGCGCUCGCGCUUGCGGGGGAGCCGGCACCGCCCGCGGCCGCGCCGCCGGAGGACCACCCGGACGAGGAGAUGGGGUUCACUAUCGACAUCAAGAGUUUCCUCAAGCCGGGCGAGAAGACGUACACGCAGCGCUGCCGCCUGUUCGUGGGGAACCUGCCCACCGACAUCACGGAGGAGGACUUCAAGAGGCUCUUCGAACGCUAUGGCGAGCCCAGCGAAGUCUUCAUCAACCGGGACCGUGGCUUCGGCUUCAUCCGCCUGGAAUCCAGAACACUGGCUGAAAUUGCAAAAGCAGAGCUGGAUGGCACUAUUUUGAAGAGCAGACCUCUACGAAUUCGCUUUGCUACGCAUGGAGCUGCCUUAACUGUCAAGAACCUUUCUCCAGUUGUUUCCAAUGAGCUGCUAGAGCAAGCAUUUUCUCAGUUUGGUCCAGUAGAGAAAGCUGUUGUGGUUGUGGAUGAUCGCGGUAGAGCUACGGGAAAAGGUUUUGUAGAAUUUGCAGCAAAACCUCCUGCACGAAAGGCUCUGGAAAGAUGUGGUGAUGGGGCAUUCUUGCUAACAACGACCCCUCGUCCAGUCAUUGUGGAACCCAUGGAGCAGUUUGAUGAUGAAGAUGGCUUGCCAGAGAAGCUGAUGCAGAAAACUCAACAGUAUCAUAAGGAAAGAGAACAACCGCCACGUUUUGCUCAGCCUGGGACAUUUGAAUUUGAGUAUGCAUCUCGAUGGAAGGCUCUUGAUGAAAUGGAAAAGCAGCAGCGUGAACAGGUUGAUAGAAACAUCAGAGAAGCCAAAGAGAAACUGGAGGCAGAAAUGGAAGCAGCUAGGCAUGAACACCAAUUAAUGCUAAUGAGGCAAGAUCUAAUGAGGCGUCAAGAAGAACUCAGACGCUUGGAAGAACUCAGAAACCAAGAGUUGCAAAAACGGAAGCAAAUACAACUAAGGCAUGAGGAGGAGCAUCGGCGGCGUGAGGAAGAAAUGAUCCGACACAGAGAACAGGAGGAGCUGAGGCGACAGCAGGAGGGCUUUAAGCCAAACUACAUGGAAAAUAGAGAACAGGAAAUGAGAAUGGGUGAUAUGGGUCCCCGUGGAGCAAUAAACAUGGGAGAUGCGUUUAGCCCAGCACCUGCUGGUAACCAAGGUCCUCCUCCAAUGAUGGGUAUGAAUAUGAACAACAGAGCAACUAUACCUGGCCCACCAAUGGGUCCUGGUCCUGCCAUGGGACCAGAAGGAGCCGCAAAUAUGGGAACUCCAAUGAUGCCAGAUAAUGGAUCAGUGGGUGAUAAAAGAAAACGUGGCUGAAGUUACAUGAAGUGCAGCUAGCAGUGUAAUUCAGGAGUUAAGACCAGAAGUACUGGAAUCCUACCUCCUUUCAGGUCAGUCCGUAUCUGCUUAUUGUUUCCUAACAGAGCCUCGAGUAUUCAUUUCUUCCUGUUUUUUUUCUAGUCAGUUCUUCCUGAUUCUGUAAUGAACAUAAGUAAUGGUCCCAGUGUUUUGAGUCAGUAGAAUAUUUAUGAACAGUUAAUAGCUGAAGCUGAAUCCUCUACAGCGUGGCCUGUCUUGGUAGGAAACCCUGGCAUCACAGCUGGUUUCUCAGCAAGUCGAGAGGGGACUUGAAGCUUUGCCUUGCCCUCCUCUUUCCUUACUGGUGUAAUGCGUGUAUUGAUUUGUCUUCAGGUAAAACUGGACUAAGAGGGGAAAUGACAUAUCACAGAUGUCUUGGAGUGAAGAGAGAGAAAAAAAAAGGUCUUUGUAAAAAAAUUUCCUAUUGAUUUUUAAUGACCUCCAAAUUUAGAAUUUUAAACUUGUGCUCCUUUGGAAAGUAUGUAAUCUUAACAAUGGCAUCAGAAAAUCAGAUGCAUUCCUCCUCCUCUGCUUUCUGCUUUUUCGGAGAAGGGUCACAAUUUUUCUGUUCUUUCGUUAUGUCACACAUAAAAUAUUAUUGAGACAUUAAUGCAGCCUUUAUAACAAAAUUCCCAUGGGUACAUUGUCAUUCUAAUAGAUCCAGAAAGUAUUAAGUGUAUUUCUUUUCUAGCUUUUGUCUGGUGUUACUAAACAUUAUUCUGUCUUAUUCUUGCUGCUGCUACAAGUGGUUCUGGGGACAGGAGUGACUGUUGCCCGAGAGCUUCUUGGAAAUGAAGGAUCUCCCACACAGGACACAGAGUCCUGCAAGUCGAAAAGUCCGUCUUAACUGUGAAGAUUAGGUCAUGUGUACUAAUGAAGACGUUUCUUUUCUAGGAUUUGCGCGCACUUGGUUUGAGAUGAUGUAUUCCAUAGUUUUGAGAAAUUUUACCUUUUCAAAGUAUCUGACACCUCAUGCAGCACAAAAAUGUGACAGCUGUUUUGUAUACUAUACCCAGCUCUAGAAAGUUAAUCUCAGGCUUUGGUUCUCAAGCCUGGGCCCUAGACCAGCAGCAUCGUCAUCUGGGAGCCUCGGAAUGCACAUUCUCAAUCACACCCUCAGCCUAUGCAACAGAAAUUUUGAGGAUACAAACUAGAGAAUAAUUUUAUAUCGUCUAUGGAGAUUUUAUUGAAAUUGAACUUUCAAGUUGCUGUAUAUGUAGGUCUCUGAAAAUCCAAAGAACCAAUCUCAUAUAUGGGUCAAAACAUUUUGUGGGAAAUAUCCUGUUCGUGACCUGGAAGAAACAAGACAGAAAACAAAUCUUACCUCACUUACGAAUUUCUUACUCCAUACAAGCAGUUCAUGGAUGUCUGGGCAAUCAUAGCACUUUCCAUUUAAAAACAUGCUACAGGGGCACAUUUUCUGUGGUUAAAAAUGAUCUCUGGAAUAAUUGUAAACUGCAGUUUUCCUUUUUAUCGAGGGUUUUGGCUUUUUAUAUGUAAAUUAAAUCAAGAUGUUACCAACUCCUUGGUGUGGUGGUCUUGAUGGCUCACGCUGGAAAGUAGUGUGGCAGCAAUGCUCAAAUUCAGAAUAGCCAGCAAAUCCCUCCGUUCAGCGCUCUGACUGGGAACCAUUAGAGGGUUUUAAAAACCAUCCCUCAUAGCCCACAAUUUUCGGUUAACUCUCAAAGUUGGGAAUAAGCAAACUGGCAUUGUUGGGAGAAAAAUCGUUUUUACUGAAGCAUGAACUGGCUCAGGCAAGCAAAUAGCGGUAGUUGGCACAGGAAGGCGAGCGUGCUGUGGGGAUGCGUGGAGGCGUCACCUUCAAAACUAAAGUGGUGCCAGGAGCACCGAUGAGUCCUUUACAAAUGGGAUCUUGUUCCCAUUUGACUGAAUUGUGAACCACUUCACUGUCUUCACAGUCUCGCCACUUACCUAAUGAGGCUUUUCUGAACCUAGGAGACGUCUAGAAAUCCCAGCUUUGCUGUGUAAGGACCAUUAGCUGCAAGUCGGUGGAAGUCUAUAGAAAGCAGUCUGAAUUCCAUAGUGGUCUUGACUUAGCAAGGAUUUGGGACAAGUCUAAAACUUCAGACUUAAAGCUUUGACACGUUAACUGCAUAAAAUAUUGAACAUUUUGAACUUCUUUAGCCUUUGUCAGUUCGCGACCCAGGUUUUUCAGUCUGUUGUAUGUUUCCUGCUUUUCCUUGUUUUGCUAAUCAUCCUCCUUGAGCUUCUCCACUGUGUUUAUUCUGGGCAUCCAAUCCAGCCUUUCCCGGUGUGUGCUUCCUCAGGCCCCUGGUUCACAUGCCGAGUGCCCUGUAAGCCUCGCUGCACUAGUGUAUGCUCACCAACAGUCUGCUUCGUUUGGGAGGGUGCUUCACUUUCAAAGCUACCCAGUACGACGCGUACAGUGCAGCACAAAGCGGAACUCAGGAAGUAGCACCUGAGCUUCAAAUAGACUUUCCUGAUCAUUCUACUGAGUAAGAGUCUCCACAUUUAAGAAUCAAGAUAGGAUUGACUUGUGAGGACAGUGUAUUUUUGGACUGAAACCAAACUCCUCAUGUCUAAUUGUAGUUAUUCAAUGUUACCAGAAUCCCUAUUUUUGGCAGAACAGACAAAAGAAUGUGUAGUGUACUUUCUACUACAGCCAUUACAGCAAACUAGAUCUGAGUGCUGUUGCUAGUAAAUAGCCAGAUUAUGUUGUCCUCACCCAAGUAGACAGUGGAAAGGAACAACGGCAGAGGACAUGACGCGCGUCUAGCCGCAGCCAUGCAUCCCACGUGUGGCGACCGCAGCCCUGAGAGCACCUGUCCUAGGCCGUGAACCAAAUCAUGUCCUAGUGCUCGAUCCCAUGUGUGACGAUCGCAGCCCUGAGAGCACCUGUCCUAGGCCGUGAACCGAAUCAUGUCCUAGUGCUCGAUCUGACUUCAUAGCUUUGCAGGGGAAAAGACUAGGAGAUCUGUGACAUGACUAGGUCACAUAAGGUGUGCUGCACACACUUUACACUACACGAAGUUGCCCUGGGCCUUGACCUAUAGUUCUAAACGUCAUCUAUAAACCUUUUGGUAAGGUGCUGCCUGAGAACUGCUUUGUUUUUCAGAGGGAUCAUUGCUCAGGCUUUUUUCCCCAAGAACUUGAACUAUUUGGCGAUUCCUGUUUGGUUUGUAUCUUAGACAGCCCUGCCUUCCUGAUGAACAGUCGGUCACCUUCUCACGUGUUCCUGACACUGUUUGUUCACAUCUGUAGCUGGACUCCUGCUGUCUCCUUUACUGCUCCUGACCUGCACCGCGAACUCAGAUCUCCCUGUUCCCCCGGAAAGCUAUGAAAUCAGAUAUACUGCAUGAUUCAAUUUAGUUGAAAAAGUCCAAUCUUGGCCCUCACUUAGCUAGAAAACCACAAAUAUCUACUGCCUUUUAAAGUUUUGAGACUUGAGACAUAAAAGGAAACAGACCAACAUCAUAGAGUUUUAUUGACAAAACCAUAGGAAAAUGCAGUUUUAGGAUGUAAAGUAAAAAUGGUUCUCUGAAAUAUCUACACAAACGUGAAUGCUGAAAAGUUUUCAUUAAAAUCGUAUUUCAUACAAUUAUAAACUAAUGAGGAACAAAACAAUUGUCACCUUCUCCAUAACCCAGCCUGAGCGCGACUGACGCUUGCCUUGAGCAGCAGGAACUCUUCCCAGACAAGGCGGCGGCUCCCACACAGCAGCCAGGCUUCGUUGUUACCUAAGCUCCAUCUUCCCAGUUGGUGUUCAAAACUAGGGCACAAGAUCUGG